AUGACUUGCAUCUACUGGCGGACACCCACUGUCACCACUUGCAUCUACUUGCGGACACCUGCUGUCAUCACUUGCAUCUACUGGCGGACACCCACUGUCAUCACUUGCAUCUACUGGCGGACACCUGCUGUCAUCACUAGUAUCUAUUUGCGGACACCUGCUGUCACCACUUGUAUCUAUUUGCGGACACCUGCUGUCACCACUUGUAUGAACUGGCCGACACCCACUGUCACCACUUGCAUCUACUGGCGGAAACCUGCUGUCACCACUUGCAUCUACUGGCGGACACCCACUGUCAUCACUUUCACCUACUGGCGGACACCUGCUGUCACCACUUGUAUCAACUGGCGGACACCCACUGUCAUCACUUGCACCUACUGGCGGACACCUGCUGUCACCACUUGGAUCUACUGGCGGUCACCUGCUGUCAUGACUUGUAUCUACUGGCCGACACCUGCUGUCACCACUUGCAUCUACUGGCGGACACCUGCUGUCAUCACUUGCAUCUACUGGGGGAUACCUGCUGUCAUCACUUGCAACUACUGGCGGACACCUGCUGUCAUCACUUGCACCUACUCGCGGACACUCACUGUCACCACUUGCAUCUACUGGCGGAAACCCACUGUCAUCACUUGCAUCUACUGGCGGACACCCACUGUCACCACUUGCAUCUACUGGCGGACACCCACUGUCACCACUUGCAUCUACUGGCGGGCACCAGCUGUCACCACUUGCAUCUACUGGCGGACACCCGCUGUCAUCACUUGCAUCUACUGGCGGACACCCGCUGUCAUCACUUGCAUCUACUGGCGGACACCCGCUGUCACCACUUGCAUCUACUGGCGGACACUCACUGUCACCACUUGCAUCAACUGGCGGACACCUGCUGUCAUCACUUGCAUCUACUGGCGGAAACCCACUGUCGUCACUUGCAUCUACUGGCGGACACCCACUGUCACCACUUGCGCCUACUGGCGGACACCUGCUGUCAUCACUUGCAUCUACUGGCGGACAUCUGCUGUCACCACUUGCAUCUACUGGCGGACACCUGCUGUCAUCACUUGCAUCUACUGGGGGAUACCCCCUGUCAUCACUUGCAUCUACUGGCGAACACUCUGUCACCACUUGCAUCUACUGGGGGAUACCUGCUGUCAUCACUUGCAUCUACUGGCGGACACCCACUGUCAUCACUUUCACGUACUGGCGGACACCUGCUGUCACCACUUGUAUCAACUGGCGGACACCCACUGUCAUCACUUGCACCUACUGGCGGACAUCUGCUGUCACCACUUGCAUCUACUGGCGGACACCUGCUGUCAUCACUUGCAUCUACUGGGGGAUACCUGCUGUCAUCACUUGCAACUACUGGCGGACACCUGCUGUCAUCACUUGCACCUACUCGCGGACACUCACUGUCAUGACUUGCAUCUACUGGCGGAAACCCACUGUCAUCACUUGCAUCUACUGGCGGACACCCACUGACAUCACUUGCACCUACUGGCGGACACCUGCUGUCACCACUUGCAUCUACUGGCGGAAACCCACUGUCAUCACUUGCAUCUACUGGCGGAGACCAACUGUCAUCACUAGUAUCUACUGGGGGACACCCGCUGUCACCACUUGCAUCUACUGGCAGACACCAACUGUUAUCACUUGCGGACACCCACUGUCAUCACUUGCAUCUACUGGCAGACACCUGCUGUCAUCACUUGCAUCUACUGAGGGAUACCUGCUGUCAUCACUUGCAUCUACUGGCGGACACUCACUGUCAUGACUUGCAUCUACAGGCGGACACCCACUGUCACCACUUGCAUCUACUUGCGGACACCUGCUGUCAUCACUUGCAUCUACUGGCGGACACCCCCUGUUUUCACUUGCACCUACUGGCGGAGACCAACUGUCAUCACUAGUAUCUACUGGGGGACACCCGCUGUCACCACUUGCAUCUACUGGCAGACACCAACUGUUAUCACUUGCGGACACCCACUGUCAUCACUUGCAUCUACUGGCAGACACCUGCUGUCAUCACUUGCAUCUACUGAGGGAUACCUGCUGUCAUCACUUGCAUCUACUGGCGGACACUCACUGUCAUGACUUGCAUCUACUGGCGGACACCCACUGUCACCACUUGCAUCUACUUGCGGACACCUGCUGUCAUCACUUGCAUCUACUGGCGGACACCCACUGUCAUCACUUGCAUCUACUGGCGGACACCUGCUGUCAUCACUAGUAUCUAUUUGCGGACACCUGCUGUCACCACUUGUAUCUAUUUGCGGACACCUGCUGUCACCACUUGUAUGAACUGGCCGACACCCACUGUCACCACUUGCAUCUACUGGCGGAAACCUGCUGUCACCACUUGCAUCUACUGGCGGACACCCACUGUCAUCACUUUCACCUACUGGCGGACACCUGCUGUCACCACUUGUAUCAACUGGCGGACACUCACUGUCAUCACUUGCACCUACUGGCGGACACCUGCUGUCACCACUUGGAUCUACUGGCGGUCACCUGCUGUCAUGACUUGUAUCUACUGGCCGACACCUGCUGUCACCACUUGCAUCUACUGGCGGACACCUGCUGUCAUCACUUGCAUCUACUGGGGGAUACCUGCUGUCAUCACUUGCAACUACUGGCGGACACCUGCUGUCAUCACUUGCACCUACUCGCGGACACUCACUGUCACCACUUGCAUCUACUGGCGGAAACCCACUGUCAUCACUUGCAUCUACUGGCGGACACCCACUGUCACCACUUGCAUCUACUGGCGGACACCCACUGUCACCACUUGCAUCUACUGGCGGGCACCAGCUGUCACCACUUGCAUCUACUGGCGGACACCCGCUGUCAUCACUUGCAUCUACUGGCGGACACCCGCUGUCAUCACUUGCAUCUACUGGCGGACACCCGCUGUCACCACUUGCAUCUACUGGCGGACACUCACUGUCACCACUUGCAUCAACUGGCGGACACCUGCUGUCAUCACUUGCAUCUACUGGCGGAAACCCACUGUCGUCACUUGCAUCUACUGGCGGACACCUACUGUCACCACUUGCGCCUACUGGCGGACACCUGCUGUCAUCACUUGCAUCUACUGGCGGACAUCUGCUGUCACCACUUGCAUCUACUGGCGGACACCUGCUGUCAUCACUUGCAUCUACUGGGGGAUACCCCCUGUCAUCACUUGCAUCUACUGGCGAACACUCUGUCACCACUUGCAUCUACUGGGGGAUACCUGCUGUCAUCACUUGCAACUACUGGCGGACACCCACUGUGACCACUUGCAUCUACUGGCGGACACCUGCUGUCAUCACUAGCAUCUACUGGCGGACACCUGCUGUCACCACUUGCAUCUACUGGCGGACAUCCACUGUCACCACUUGCGCCUACUGGCGGACACCCACUGUCACCACUUGCAUCUACUGGCGGACACCUGCUGUCAUCACUUGCAUCUACUGGGGGAUACCUGCUGUCAUCACUUGCAACUACUGGCGGAUACCCACUGUCACCACUUGCAUCAACUGGCGCACACCUGCUGUCACCACCUGCAUCUACUCGCGGACACCCGCUGUCAUCACUUGCAUCUACUGGCGGACACCUGCUGUUACCACUUGUAUCUACUGGCGGACACUCACUGUCAUCACUUGCAUCUACUGGUGGACACCCACUGUCAUGACUUGCUUACACUAACUGUGAUCACUUGUGUGUACUGGCGGACACCCUCUGUCAUCACUUAUAGACACCAACUGUCAUCACUUAUAGACACCCACUGUCAUCACUGGCGAACACCCACUGUCAUCACUGGCGGACACCCACUGUAUUCACUGGCGGACACCCACUGUCAUCACUGGCGGACACCCACUGUAUUCACUGGCGGACACCCACUGUCAUCACUGGCGGACACCCACUGUAUUCACUGGCGGACACCCACUGUCAUCACUGGCGGACACCCACUGUCAUCACUGGCGGACACCCACUGCGAUCACUGUACCGGCUUUUCCAUCAGUCAUACCUGUGACCUCAACAGAUGUGGUUGUGGUUGCUCUUGGCAUUGGUUUGGUUUUGUCUUCAAAUAACGAAAUGUUAUUUUAUUAUAUUUUGAAAAGAGAAAUUGUCAUCAAAUCAAUGAAGUUAAGUGAAAUGUUCCGAUGUUACGACUGACUGCCUUACUCGUAAGCGAAGCUAGAAAUAGUUUGUCCAACCUUCCAGACGCUCUUUCAAAUCCUACCCCAACUCCCCAUCCCACUCCAUCCCCUCUCACACACUGUCACACAUGCCUUUGACAAGAUCUAUCAUGGUCUAAACUCUUUUGAGCAGUUGUUGAUUGGAAAAUGUAAUCUUACUUAAUUAAUUAUCAUGAAAUGUAAUUAUUCAGAUGCAUGUAUUGCUGACCUUCCCCUGGACGCUGUUGUCUUCUCCGGAUGUCCACUCCGGUGGCCUCGACAGUGUUCGCCGACCCCCUUGUCAUUCCCGUUGUCUUCAUGUUCCCUAUUUGCUUCAUCGUCUUCAAUGCAUCACCCACGUUAUCUGCAGCAGAAACCCUCGUAUACAUUCCUCACUGAGUGAAUGGGGACCAGGGUUCUCUCUGCAGUCGGUUAUGACCCACAGCUACGUAACAGCUACAUCACAGCUACAUCACAGCUAUAUCCAAACUCAAGCACAGCUACAUCGCAGCCAUACCACAGCUGUAUAUAUCAGCCAUAUCACAGCUACAUCACAGCUAUUUCCCAGCUACAUCACAGCUAUAUAUAUAUAUAUAUAUCAGCUAUAUCACAGCUACAUAGCUACAUCACAGCUCCAGCACGUUUAUAUCACAGCUACAUCACAGCUCCAUCACGUUUAUAUCACAGCUACAUCACGUUUAUAUCACAGCUCCAUCACGUUUAUAUCACAGCUACAUAUCAGCUACAUCACGUUUAUAUCACAGCUACAUCACAGCUACAUCACGUUUAUAUCACAGCUACAUCACAGCUCCAUCACGUUUAUAUCACAGCUACAUAUCAGCUACAUCACGUUUAUAUCACAGCUACAUCACGUUUAUAUCACAGCUACAUAUCACCUACAUUACAUCUACAUCAGGUUUAUAUCACAGCUUCAUAUCAACUACAUCACAUCUACAUCACGUUUAUAUCACAGCUACAUAUCAGCUACAUCACGUUUAUAUCACAGCUACAUAUCAGCUACAUCACGUUUAUAUCACAGCCAUACCACAGCUACAUCACGUUUAUAUCACAACUACAUCACAUUUAUAUCACAGCCAUACCAUAGCUACAUCACAGCUAUACAUAUCAGCUACAUCACAGCUACAUCACACCCAUCACGUUUAUGUCACAGCUACAUCACAUUUAUAUCACAAUUACAUCACGUUUAUAUCACAGCUUUAUCAGAUAUAUCACAUAUAUCACGGCGACCUGCUCGAUCUGGGGCAGGUUAAUCAAUAGUUGACAGAUGACCUGUUCAACAAGAUGCCCAAAGACUAGCAUGAGACUUCAUGAUGACACUCAGCUGUGAAGCAAUCAGAUUCUUUAACCUAAUAUGACAUCAGUGUGGGCACAAGUCAAAUCAUGUUUGCGGCAAUAGACCGAUCCAGUCUGUCAAUCAAAAGUCAAAAUCGUCAGUUUGAGCCAAUCAGAAGGCCGGGCGCGCUUUGUGGAUUUGUCAGACUUACUUCCGGGGUCAAACCAUACCCGCGAAGCGAAAUGGCUACGGUUUGUGCUAUUUUCACUCGCGAUAUUCAUUACGUAUCGCUUGGAUAAGAUGUAUGCCUUUACCACAGGGUCGGGAGAAAAAUGUUUGAGGCUGAUCAAGAUGUGCGGUUGGCCUCACACCAUCAGUUAAAUGUCGCCACCAUCUUCCACGGGACCCACGUCUGCUCGAAGCAUUUCUAUGAAGAGACAGGGCCCAUGCAGUAAUGAAUUACCUGAUGCUAUUCUUGUGAAAUGGAAUCAUACCUUCAAGAUCGUCUCCAGACAGUCAAAGGACUUUCAAAGAACCUACGGGCCAUUAUCAAGAACAUCUUUAAUCACCUGAAAAUCGCAAUAAUCCCGAUUCUGUCAGGCUA
rnacentral:misc_RNA from 1 species